UGGGGAAUUUUGGACAAUGGGGGCAACCCUGAUCCAGCCAUGCCGCGUGCGGGAAGAAGGCCUUCGGGUUGUAAACCGCUUUUGGUCGGGACGAAAGGGCUGGGGCUAAUACCCUUGGUCGUUGACGGUACCGGCAGAAUAAGCACCGGCUAACUACGUGCCAGCAGCCGCGGUAAUACGUAGGGUGCGAGCGUUAAUCGGAAUUACUGGGCGUAAAGCGUGCGCAGGCGGUAAGUUAAGUCUGAUGUGAAAGCCCCGGGCUCAACCUGGGAACGGCAUUGGAAACUGGCUUGCUAGAGUGUGGCAGAGGGGGGUGGAACUCCGCGUGUAGCAGUGAAAUGCGUAGAGAUGCGGAAGAACACCGAUGGCGAAGGCAGCCCCCUGGGCUAACACUGACGCUCAGGCACGAAAGCGUGGGGAGCAAACA
rnacentral:rRNA from 1 species